rnacentral:lncRNA from 1 species
AUAACAACCACUUUACAUUUUGACAUAAAAUAAUCAUUGCACCAUUUGAUGACUUAAACACCUGGUAUUAGAACAAAUACCACAAAAAAAAGAUGCAGAUGAUAUAACCCUUCACUUGACAAUAUUGAAACAGAUGAAUAUGAUUAUUUUCAACAAUGGUAAAUGGGAAACAGCAGUCAUUUAUUUAGUUUAAAACAGUUAACAGUGUAUUAUCAAACGUUGCCUUUUUACUUUUAAACGCAAUAAAUUGAAAUAAAAAAUCCUGUUUCAAUGAAUACUGUGAAAAUCGUUACAUUUAUAAAUCAUAUAAACAGACAGAAACCAGUUUAAUAAAUGCUCCAUCUUUCUGUGGUUAAUUUAUUUUUAGGAAUGUUCGAUUGAUACUUUGUAUUUUAUGAUGCUGUCUAACCUAGAAAACUUUCUACAGGACUAUCAAAAACUUAUGCUACAGAUAAUGAUUGCUUAUUUCAACAAAAUAAAAUAAGACAAUGAAUGGCAUCAGUCAUU